rnacentral:lncRNA from 1 species
UUUUCUUCUCUUAUUUUUUAUGUUUUCCUCUUUUUCCUUUCUAUGCAACUAAAGGGGUCCUUUAGGUGAAACCUCUUUCCAAAGGCCAAAAGGUGGUUUCUUUCUUUCAUGUGGCGUUGUGUGGUGGAUGGCCUUAUCAAUUAGCCUACCCACAAUCAAAUCACUUCUUCAGAGGAAAAGGGAGUGGGAGGCAAUUGAAGCGUGCAGCUCCUCCACUUUCCAUCAAGGGUCCCCC